GAUGGUGGCAGUACCAGUGAGACACCUCAGCCUCCUCGGAAGAAAAGGGCCCGGGUAGAUCCUACUGUUGAAAAUGAGGAAACAUUCAUGAACAGAGUUGAAGUUAAAGUAAAAAUUCCUGAAGAGCUAAAACCAUGGCUUGUUGAUGACUGUGACUUAAUUACCAGACAAAAACAGCUCUUUUAUCUUCCUGCCAAGGAGAAUGUGGAUUCCAUUCUAGAGGACUACGCAAAUUAUAAGAAAUCUCAUGGAAACACAGAUAAUAAGGAGUAUAAGAAUAAAAGAAUACUUCAAUGUAAUGCUGGGCACUAAGCUACUCUACAAAUUCGAGAGGCCACAGUAUGCUGAAAUUCUUGCAGAUCACCCUGAUGCUCCCAUGUCCCAGGUGUAUGGAGCAUCGCAUCUGCUGAGAGUAUUUGUGUGAAUUGGAGCAAUGUUGGCCUAUACACCUCUGGAAGAGAAGAGCCUUGCUUUAUUACUGAAUUAUCUUCAUGGCUUCCUAAAAUACCUGGCAAAGAAUUCUGCGACCUUGUUUAGUGCCAGUGAUUAUGAAGUGGCCCCUCCUGAGUACCAUCAGAAAGCUGUGUGAGAGGCAUUCGUGCUCACUAUGUUUGGAUCUCUGUAAACACAUUUUUGUUCUUAGUCUUUCUCUUGUACAAACGAUGUACUUUGAAGAUGUUAGUGUAUAACAGAAUUGAUGUUUGUUUUCUGUUUGAUUUUCAACAG